rnacentral:rRNA from 1 species
AACGAACGCUGGCGGCAUGCCUAACACAUGCAAGUCGAACGAGACCUUCGGGUCUUGUGGCGCACGGGUGCGUCACGCGUGGGAAGCUGCCCUUAGGUUCGGCAUAACUCUCCGACAGGGGUGCUAUUACCGGAUAAUGUCUUCGGACCAAAGAUUUUUCGCCCUUGGAUGGGCCCGCGUUGGAUUAGCUAGUUGUUAGGGUAAUAGCCUACCAAGGCGUGGAUCAAUAGCUGGUCUGAGAGGAUGAUCAGCAACUCUGGGAGUAAGACACGGCCGAGACUCCUACGCAAGGGGGCAGUGGGGGAUAGUGCAACAUGGGCGAAGGCCUGAACCAGCAAGGCCGGGUGAGUGAUGAAGGCCUUAGGGAUGAAAAGCUCUUUUAACCGGGAUGAUAAUGACGGUACCGGGAGAAUAAGCUCCGGCUAACUCCGUG